GGUUUGGAAAUAUAAACAUAACUUUUCUAUAUAUAAAUUAAAUAAUAAAAGGCUUGAAAAUGUAAGAGAUAAUCUAUAUGAAGGAAAUAAAAAUAGUGUGUGUUUACCACUCUGUCCUCCUCACUGCCCCUGAUGCUCUCAUUCUGGCUCAGGGUCCUCCUCCCUGACACCCUUUCCCUGUUGCUCUGUCCUUUUAUCUGUCUGUCCUUCUUUUCUGCUCUGUCCUUUUACCUGUCCUCCAUGCCCCUUUCAUGAUCUCUUUUUUAUUCCCUGUUGCUCUGUCCUGCUCUCUGUUCCAUUUUAUCUUACUGUAUCUUUCUGUCCUGUUCCCUGCCCCUAUUAUUUUUUAAUCCCUCUGUGUUGUGUUGCCCAUUGAUUUUAUUUUCUGCAUCUCCAUUCUGGCACUCUGUCCUCAUUUUCCUUUCUCUGGCCUGCUCCCACUUGCUCUUUCUGCCUGUCCUGCUCCCUCCUGUGCUUCCAGGCACAAUUCCCCAGGUGUGGCAGGUGGUGCUGCCUUCAUGUGAGGUGGUUUGGUGGUGGACUUGGCAGUGCUGGCUUAAUGCUCAGACUUGGAUCACUUCAAAGUUCUUCUCCAACCUAAAUGGUUCUGCGGUUCUUUAUCUCUCUCCUACUCCCUUCACUUCCCCUCCAUUGCUGUUCCUCUCUUCUUUUUCUUGUCCCUGUCCUUUUUGCCUUUCUCUGUCCCAUUCUCAGACCUGUGCUUUCUCACUGCACCUUCUCAGCAAGCUGGCAUCCUCCCUGUUCUCCUCCCUCCCUCCUCUUUCUCUUUUUAUCAUUCUUUUUCUCUUUCUCCUCCUUCUCCUCCUGAGCUGUCCCAGUGGCAGUGGCAGUGUCCCCAGGUGACAGAGCAGCCUUGCCGCAGGAACUUCUCCCGUGUGACAGAAUUAACCCUUCCUGCCGGCCUUUGCCCAGCAGGGAUGGAUGAUCCCUGGCUCCUGCUGGGCUCUGGGCAUCUCUGGUGCCCUCACGGUUCAGACAGGGUUUUCACGUCUCUGGGUCACACCGCUGGUUUGUCUCUGGGUCGUGUGUUCGUCUGUGGGUGUCUGUCUCAAAUCGUGCGCAAAAAAAAAUACUAAAAAUUGUAACUUUUCUUAUCUCUUUAUAUAUAUGCAGACAAAAAAAAAAUUCCAGAUACAAUUCCGUAUCUACUGUUUUAUAUGAAGAAUCUUAAAGCAUAAGGAAUUCUAAAUACGGAUAUAUGUAAGAUUUGAAAAUACAAAUAUAACCUCUGUAUAUAUAAAUUAAACAAUAAAGGGCCCGAAAAAGGAGAAAAGAUGACCUCAAUGAAGGCAAGAGAAGCAGCUCUGUGCGCUCAGAAGUUUUUUGGCCAUCACCAACUCCGGGCUCUCAGCAGGGCCUUGAGCGCUGCCGGCCGCGCCGGCCGCGGGGCACUGCGCGUGCGCGGCGAGUUCGCCGGCUCGGGACCGCUCCCGGCAGGCCGAAGGCGGCAUUGCCACAAGGCAGGCGCGCAUGCGCACUGCCUCAAACGGCUCUCUGGCCUCACCCGCAGCUCGAAAGCGGUACUGCAAUUCCGAAUCGUGCGCACGCGCAGUGACUCCUCGGGCCGCUACCGUGCCGCUUUCCGUGCCUGCGGCGGGGAACAGCGUGGGAGCAUCAUGCGCGGGUCCCGGCUGGGGUGGCAGUGUCGGGCGGGGAUUGCAGGGAGCCUGCGGAGCCGCGGCGUGAGUGCCAGGUGGCAUUGGGCGGCUGCAAGAAGUCACGUGACAAGCCACUAGGGAUGGUGGCGUUGUACGAACUGGCGUCAUUCCACUCUCAAGAUGGUGACCGCGAGAGGAAUCACAUGUCACAACACUAAAGAUGGCGGAUUAGGAAAAAAAAAACCAUCCAAAUAAACAAAUCAAAAACCAAAACCAAAACCAAAAACCCAAACAAAACAAAACAGAAAACCACCUCGUGGCACCAUGCUCAAGAUGGUGACAGUGUACAGGAAAUGAUGCCAUGCCACUUUCAGGAUGGCAGCCCGGGCAUCCAAACCAGGCCAUCCUUCCCAAGAUGGCAGCAGGCAAGGCCUUGCUUUUGGGGAAGGCCAAAGAAUCACAGUAGAACCUCCCUCGUCAGAAGGGAGCAUCUCUCAUCAGAAAGGAACCUCCCUCCUCAGAAUGGAGCAUCUCUCCUCAGAAAGGAACCUCCUUCCUCAAAAGGGAACCUCUCUCAGUAAAGAGCCUCUCCCCUCAGAAAGACAGGCCUGGCUGCUGAGGACAACCUGUGUGAGAUCUGUGCCAAUGCUGCCUGCACCAUCUGCUUCUGAGAAGGUGGGAAAACCCACACAAAGCAUGUCCAGCUGGGAAGUUUGUGCGUUUCUAUAGCAGGAUCAUGUACUUUCACCCAUCAAUUUUUCUGGGCUCCAUCUCCCAGUGAAGCCAAACUGCAGCUGCCAGCUCUUGGGGAUGUUCCUGCAGUCCUGCAGCACCUGGAUUGAGAUGCCACCAGCAGAGCAGAUCUGCCAGCAAGGAGGCUGGGACUCCUCUGAGAGGUUCCAGUGCUGCAGGAGUUGGGUGACACUGGAAUGGAAAUGCCCUGGGUGUCAUUUCCCACUAUUUUGCCUGGGUUGAACGCACUGGGCAAAACUCAGUACUUUCUGCAGCCUUUUAGUAGGUAAUAUUAAUAUCUAAUAUUCAGUGUCUAAUACUUAAUAGCUAAUAUUUAAUGUCUGAUAAUUAAGAUUUAAUAUUUAAUACCUGGUUGUGAUUUGGCCUCCUGUACACGCAAGAGCAGGACCAGGUUAUCCCCUUUCUCAGCCCUCAUUUCCAGUGGGUUGGAUCCCUUUCCCUUCCCUCUGUCUGCAGGUGAUAUCUCUGAGUUUGUAGCAGAACUGCAACAAGUAACUCAAGAUGAAUUCCUGGUGUUGAGGAACACCUUGACAGCCAGAAACCAGCCUGUUCCUUGUACUGAUUAGGGAAUGGAUACAGAGGAGCAAAGGAAAUCUUCCCUGGUUGUGUAUUGAGAUUCUUUAAACUCCCUUUAGGAGGAAGGAAUUCCAAACUGCAGUGCUGGAAUCAUGUUGAAAUGAAAACAUUGCAUAUUGUUUUAUUUAUUGGUGGCAAGAAUGUGAAGAAAGGAUCUGCACAUGUUUAUAUGUGUAUAGGAAAUAAAAGCUAGGAAUAAUUUGGAUUUUUAAAAUGUUAUUUCUGGGGUUUGUUGUAGAUUUGUAGAUUUGGUUUUAGGAUAUUCUUCUUGCUUACUUGCUUUUUGCCCAUAUAAGGUGUUUCAUGUCUGGGGCUUCCCUGAAUAAAAGAUAUAAUUUAA